rnacentral:rRNA from 1 species
GAUGAACGCUAGCGGCAGGCCUAACACAUGCAAGUCGAGGGGUAGGUCAUUUCGGUGACUGAGACCGGCGCACGGGUGCGUAACGCGUAUGCAAUCUACCUUUUACUGAGGGAUAGCCCGAAGAAAUUUGGAUUAAUACCUCAUAGUGUUAUAGAGUGGCAUCACUUUAUGAUUAAAGAACUUCGGUAAAAGAUGAGCAUGCGUCCCAUUAGCUAGUUGGUAAGGUAACGGCUUACCAAAGCAACGAUGGGUAGGGGUCCUGAGAGGGAGAUCCCCCACACUGGUACUGAGACACGGACCAGACUCCUACGGGAGGCAGCAGUGAGGAAUAUUGGUCAAUGGGCGCAAGCCUGAACCAGCCAUGCCGCGUGCAGGAUGACGGUCCUAUGGAUUGUAAACUGCUUUUGUACAGGAAGAAACAGUUCUACGUGUAGAACCUUGACGGUACUGUAAGAAUAAGGAUCGGCUAACUCCGUGCCAGCCGCCGCCGUAACAC